rnacentral:lncRNA from 1 species
CUCUCUCUCUCUCUCUCUCUCUCUCUCUCUCUCUCUCUCUCUCUCUCUCUCUCUCUCUCUCUCUCUCUCUCUCAUCCAAUUCCCAGAAGAAAAACCCCACUUCUCCCUCAGUUCUAGUAUAUUUUAGAACGCACUCAAGUGGGCCUUCCACACCGAGAGGGCUCUAAUCUGCGGGUCUAAUUAAAUAAAAUUCCUUAGUUAUCGGCUCGGGCUUCUUUAAAACAACGCCCGUGUGGGUAGAGCCCGAGAACAGCACCAUUCUGGAGGGGAAUCAGCCCCCGUGCUCUUGGAGAACGGAGUCCGUCUUUAUCCUUCUUACGUUCAAAGGGAGAAGAGGCCCUGAUUAAAGGGUAAAAGAAAAGGAUGGCCGGGAGCUUUGAACAAGAUGGUAAAUCUCCAUAAAUACAUCAAGCUUUGGGCACGGAUCCCCCACGUUUAAAUGGUUUUCGACUCCUCAUGUGAUCAUAAUCCGAUUAACAACCCCAGAAUCUUAUUCCAAUGAAGAAUGGCGAAUCUGGCUUAGUCGCCAUUGCCGUCAAGAUUUCGACCCAGAAUUCCGUUUGAAAGAGGACCCGCAUUUCAUCAUUGAUGUGGAGUCUCCCUCUCUCCCUCCCUCCUUUCCUCUCUAUCUCUCUCUCUCUCCCUCCUCUCUCCUCUCUCUCAUCAAAUGAGUUGAAUUUCUCCGUCCCAUCGAAACCCGCCGGGGAAGAGAGGGAAUGGGAAGGGAAAAGGCCAGGGGAGGUCACUCGAUGGCCUUCCACCCAAAGCAAUCAACCCAAUUAAAAGGAGAAGAUCAGAAGAAAAGCCCUGCGCGCGUGACUUCUGUAAACCAAAGAUCACUGCAUUAAGAAGAAUAACCGCCGCCGCCCAUCGCUUUCAUCCAAAAGCCGGCAACCCGGCCACGGUAGCCAGAGGGAAAUGGGAUCAUCUCCUGGUCCUGUAGUGGGAAGGGAGAAGGGUGGGGACGGGUGGCACUCACAUGGGCCGGGUUCCCCCGCUUAAGCUCGGAAGCUCCUUCUGGUAGGGAUUCCUCCCCCUCCGACACCACUUCUCUAUUCACGCUGCCCGUCCAACAUUAUUAUAGCAGUUAUGAUGAUCCUGUAGCUCUGAUGUAUGGCCCGAAGAGGCUACCUCACCUCAGACGUCGUUCGUGCCUCUGUCUGUGGUCCUCGGUCUCCCCUCUCAAUCAGAUCCAGCCUCGUUUGUAACGUCUCUGUAGACGGACAUGGUCUCUUAAAUAUUAUUGAAAUCUGAACUAAAGAAGUUGGAUAGCAA